ACAGUUAAAGUGACUGUGUUUGUGAUACAAUAUCUACAGUCAACGUCUAUCUUCAGGAGUUCUGGGAACCAGGGUGAUGCAAAACUUUUUUUGAUGUGUGUGUAAUGUAUCUUAGAUCUCUCCAACAGAAAACUAUGCCCAGUAAUUGCAAGAAAGCACAGAUCACACCUGUAUACAUGAAGAUAACAGGUGGUAAUUCAUAACCUCAGAUUUACCAUCCAGUGCUGGGCUAAGUGAACUGAUGUGAUGUGACCUGAUGGAUAUAUGAAUACACUCUGAUGUGACAGUGCCAUAAUGUGAGUUGACAGCCAGCGUGAACUGGCCUUUAUUUAUCAAGAGAUUGUCUGAUACUGAUACCACAAAGUCAAAACAGAAUUGACUCUGUUUCACCAGUCAAGCAGCUACUGCUGACAGUCAAAUAUUCUGCCUUUGUUGAUUCUUUCUGGCUAUUGGAGAUUCUAAUUGUACUGACACCCAGCAGGAUGUACGAUGUGUAUGACACUGCAAUAUGCACAAUAUGCACAAGAGACAAUUUUGUUAAUUAUUUCAGUUCUCUGAUGUAAUUAAGUGAAAAUAGUAUAAACACAUGUAUAUAGAAUA